GACAGAGGGUGCAAACGUUGUUCGGAAUUACUGGGCGUAAAGGGCGCGUAGGCGGUGCGCUAAGUCAGAUGUGAAAGCCCUGGGCUUAACCCGGGAACUGCAUUUGAUACUGGCGCGCUUGAAUCCGGGAGAGGUUGGUGGAAUUCCCAGUGUAGAGGUGAAAUUCGUAGAGAUUGGGAAGAACACCGGUGGCGAAGGCGGCCAACUGGACCGGUAUUGACGCUGAGGCGCGAAAGCGUGGGGAGCAAACAGG
rnacentral:rRNA from 1 species